rnacentral:misc_RNA from 1 species
GAUGAGAACGCAGCGAAAUGCGAUAAGUAAUGUGAAUUGCAGAAUUCAGUGAAUCAUCGAAUCUUUGAACGCAUCUUGCGCUCCUUGGUAUUCCUUGGAGCAUGCCUGUUUGAGUAUCAUGAGCAAAUCUCAAAGUCAAUUCCUUUUGUUGAUUCAAUUGGUUUUGCUUUGGACUUGGAGGCCUUGCAGAUUUCACAGUCUGCUCCUCUUAAAUGCAUUAGCUGGAUCUCAGUAAUUAUGCUUGGUUCCACUCGGCGUGAUAAGUAUCACUCGCUGAGGACACUGUUAAAAAGGUGGCCAGGAAAAUACUGAUUGAACCGCUUCUAACGGUCUAUUAAGUUAGACAAUUACCCUUAAGUUUGAUCUCAAAUCAGGUAGGACUACCCGCUGAACUUAAGCAUAUCAAUAAGCGGGGA